GACCCCCAGGCAAGGCGGAAUACCCGCUUA
rnacentral:rRNA from 1 species